CCUACGGGAGGCAGCAGUGAGGAAUAUUGGUCAAUGGACGAGAGUCUGAACCAGCCAAGUAGCGUGAAGGAUGACUGCCCUAUGGGUUGUAAACAUCUUUUAUAUGGGAAUAAAAUGUUCCACGUGUGGGAUUUUGUAUGUACCAUAUGAAUAAGGAUCGGCUAACGCCGUACCAGCAGACGCGGUAAUACGGAGGAUCCGGGCGUUAUCCGGAUUGAUUGGGUUUAAAGGGAGCGUAGGUGGAUUGUUAAGUCAGUUGUGAAAGUUUGCGGCUCAACCGUAAAAUUGCAUUUGAAACUGGCAGUCUUGAGUACAGUAGAGGUGGGCGGAAUUCGUGGUGUAGCGGUGAAAUGCUUAGAUAUCACGAAGAACUCCGAUUGCGAAGGCAGCUCCCUGGACUGCAACUGACACUGAGGCUCGAAAGUGUGGGUAUCAAACAGGAUUAGAUACCCGAGUAGUC
rnacentral:rRNA from 1 species